GACGAACGCUGGCGGCGUGCUUAACACAUGCAAGUCGAACGGUAAGGCCCUUCGGGGUACACGAGUGGCGAACGGGUGAGUAACACGUGGGUGAUCUGCCCUGCACUUCGGGAUAAGCCUGGGAAACUGGGUCUAAUACCGGAUAGGACUCCUGGCUUCAUGGUUGGGGGUGGAAAGCUUUUGCGGUGUGGGAUGGGCCCGCGGCCUAUCAGCUUGUUGGUGGGGUAAUGGCCUACCAAGGCGACGACGGGUAGCCGGCCUGAGAGGGUGACCGGCCACACUGGGCUGGAGUAAGGCCCCGGACUCUUCCGGGAGGAGGAGGUGGGGAUUAUGGAACAAUGGGGGAAAGCCUGAUGCAGCGACGCCGGGGGGGGAUGACGGCCUUCGGGUUGUAAACCUCUUUCAGCACAGACGAUGCGCAAGUGACGGUAUGUGCAGAAGAAGGACCGGCCAACUACGUGCCAGCAGCCGCCGUAA
rnacentral:rRNA from 1 species